rnacentral:rRNA from 1 species
AGAGGGUGCAAGCGUUAAUCGGAAUUACUGGGCGUAAAGCGCGCGUAGGUGGUUUGUUAAGUUGGAUGUGAAAUCCCCGGGCUCAACCUGGGAACUGCAUUCAAAACUGACUGACUAGAGUAUGGUAGAGGGUGGUGGAAUUUCCUGUGUAGCGGUGAAAUGCGUAGAUAUAGGAAGGAACACCACUGGCGAAGGCGACCACCUGGACUAAUACUGACACUGAGGUGCGAAAGCGUAGGGAGCAAACAGGAUUAGAUACCCUGGUAGUCCACGCCGUAAACGAUGUCAACUAGCCGUUGGAAGCCUUGAGCUUUUAGUGGCGCACUAACGCAUUAAGUUGACCGCCUGGGGAGUACGGCCGCAAGGUUA